AACGAACGCUGGCGGCAGGCCUAACACAUGCAAGUCGAGCGAGCAUUUCGGUGCUAGCGGCGGACGGGUGAGUAACGCGUGGGAACGUGCCCUUUUCUGCGGAAUAGUCCUGGGAAACUGGGGGUAAUACCGCAUACGCCCUUUUGGGGAAAGAUUUAUCGGAGAAGGAUCGGCCCGCGUUGGAUUAGGUAGUUGGUGGGGUAAUGGCCCACCAAGCCGACGAUCCAUAGCUGGUUUGAGAGGAUGAUCAGCCACACUGGGACUGAGACACGGCCCAGACUCCUACGGGAGGCAGCAGUGGGGAAUCUUAGACAAUGGGGGCAACCCUGAUCUAGCCAUGCCGCGGGAGUGAUGAAGGCCUUAGGGUUGUAAAGCUCUUUCAGCUGGGAAGAUAAUGACGGGACCAGCAGAAGAAGCCCCGGCUAACUCCGU
rnacentral:rRNA from 1 species